GCACGUAGUUAGCCGGGCGUUUCCUCCUCGAGUACCGUCAUUAUCUUCCUUGAGGACAGAGCUUUACGACCCGAAGGCCUUCAUCGCUCACGCGGCGUUGCUGCAUCAGGCUUUCGCCCAUUGUGCAAUAUUCCCCA
rnacentral:rRNA from 1 species